CCAGCGAGGAGCUCCCUACAUCACGUUCUGGAAACCCCUCCGUGACCGGAGUCCACCCCUUCCCCCACCCCCCAAUACGUUCGGGCCUGCGGCGGCUGCGUCUUGCCCCGGCGACUCCGGGAUGGAAGAUGCGGGCUUGAGUUCUUGCUGGAUGCCAUCGACCGGUUUCCACUCCGGGAGGAUUUCACCGACAACCUUUAACAUUCAGAUCCGCUCCCCCUGGCAUUAUUACCUCCAGGUCAAGCCAACCCUGGCAUGCCGAUAGAUUCAAAAUGCUAGUUCUGGAUGCGGGCAGCAAGUUGGUGGCGGUGGCCCGGAGAAGGCACAGGGUGGCAUGCGCCGGCGACGGGAGGCAUCUCCCACUAGGUCUGUGCACUCAACUGACAGGGUCAACCCAGAGGCGCCCGGAUGGACAAAGAGACGCGCGAUCUACUGGGAUUAUUCCAUUGAAGAGGGGCACAACAGAGGAUGGUGCAGAAUGGGGUGGAUGUGGAUCAAUUGACGAGGAUCAAAGUGCGCGCACACUUGGUGCGGCGGCCCUGGAUUUAGUUGACCAAGACAUAAAUCAUCCGGGACUUUUCGAAGGGGGUUUCGAUCAAGCAAGGAGUCUGCUCUUGAGGCUGCGUGAAGGAGAUGUCGGAUGUAAAACAUAGAGAUCCAUGGCGGUCUGAAUAUACUUGUGUUGAUUGCAUUUUGACCCAUCUUCAGUUCAUUUUGUUGACCCAUCUGAUUACGAUGUCCUCCGGUUCUACAUCAACAUGCUGGGCUGUGACAAAAACGUCAUACGAAAGAAAUGGUUCUGGCACUUUCAUCCAAUACUUGCAGUGGCAUCUGGUCAGGACCUGAAGGAUGAGUUAACUCUUGGUGGUGAGUUAAUGUUAAAUGUCUGGAGAUGCAUGCAGCACGUGCUAAGUGCAAAAGAGAAGAGGAUGUACUGCGGGGUGGCUUGUGAGAUGGAGACGGAUUUUGAUCCCCGUUUUGUGAGCUAUGCAGGGGAGACGAUGAAGUGGGCUGGGAUAGCAUGAUGAUGAACUCUGAUUUGAUGGGCUACAUAAUUGAUUGGCUAAAGAAGAUAAAGGUAUUGUGGGUGAAAAACUAUGGACCUGUAUUGAAUUUGUAAUUCAAGACCUAAGCAGACUAAGUGAAAGUACUCCCUCUCUACAGUGGGAGUAUGUACGUGUGGUUGUAUGGACAGAUUACCAUCUAUCUGAAUUCGCAAUGUUAUACUUGGUGUUGGUGAUUCAGUCUCUUGCUUUAUAGCAAAUGUCAUGCUUGCUUGGCAACGGCUGCACUUGUAGAGGUGGUGUCCAGCGGCGGCGAUGAGGAUAUAGUUUCGGUGUGGGAGACGACCAGUGCGAGAUAUAAUAACUGCGGGUAGAUCGGGUAGCCGUUACAGCGGUCGUGGCAAGGAGGCGGCUCAGGCACAGCUAAAUGACUAGCCGUGACCGCAAAAGAUGUUCCGUCUCUGCCUUACAAGCUGUCAUCUCAUUUAAUGCACCCACGAGCUGGCUUUAUUUGCCUGCAAUACGUCUACUAUACCGGCAGAAAUACAUCAACUAGCACAGAUCCACAUGCUAGCAGACGGGGAUGAUUUCAGGAGCAUCUGAGCCUGGGCUCCGAAUCGAAUAUCCGACUUAUUUAUCCUUACUCUGUUUUUUGUGUACUAAGAUUGUUCGUUUGUACCCAGCAUGUGUACGUGAUGUGCCCUGCCGCUGUGUGUACUUCCUACUAAUGUAUGUGCUUCCUGACACUGUUGAGCAUGCGUGUGUGUGUUCGCUGUCGUUAUUUAUUAACAUUGUCAUGCUCUUCUUA